GCAUAACCCAAUGUGCAUGCUGAGGAGGCCUCACGCCAGUUUAGGCUCUCCAGUAUCUCCCACUGAGCUACUCUGUCCCCGACUUAGAGGACCAGGAGAAGGGGGAGCUGGAGGCUGGAGCCUGCCACACCGUGGCUCGUCUCACUCUGGAUGGUGGUGGCAACAGAGAUGGCAGUGUGGCUGGAGUUUUAGGAGGGCGGCCUGAGCCGUAGGAGGGGGCUGGAGCAGUAACAUGGCGGCCUGAGCGGUAGGCGGGAGCUGGAGCAGUAAGAGGGCGGCCUGAGCGGUAGGAGGGGGGCUGGAGCAGUAAGAGGGCGGCCGGGGCGGUAGGCGGGGGCUGGAGCAGUAAGAGGGCGGCCUGAGCGGUAGGCGGGGGCUGGAGCACUAAGAGGGCGGCCGGGGCGGUAGGAGGGGGCUGGAGCAGUAAGAGGGCGGCCUGAGCGGUAGGCGGGGGCUGGAGCAGUAAGAGGGCGGCCUGAGCGGUUUUUCUGGCAUUGUCUGCCCAGCUGCUCCAAGCCAGGCUGAUGAAGGAGGAGUCCCCUGUGGUGAGCUGGAGGUUGUAGCCUGAAGAUGGCACAGCUCUGUGAUUCAUCUCCUGCGGUUGUGGCGGCCACGGUGAUGGAGACUGCAGCUCAACAGGAGUGAGAAAUGGAAUCAUCGUAUCGCUGAUCUAUGUAAACAAACUGAAGAAUUGUCUGAAAGAAAAUAUGACAUGAACUUAUGAAUUCAACAGGUGAAGAUUUACAACUUGAUAAAUCAACUGUCAGCUCGAGCUGUAAAAGCCAAAGGUCCGGUGAUGAUCCCAUACCCUUUUUUCCAGUCUCAUGUUGAAGAUUUUUAUGUAGAAGGCCUUCCCAAAGGAAUUUUUUUUUUUUUUUUUUUUGAGAUGGAGUUUUCACUCUUAUCGCCCAGGCUGGGGUGCAAUGGCGCAACCUUGCUGGUCACUGCAACCUCUGCCUCCUGGGUUCAAGAAAUUCUCCUGCCUUAGCCUCCCAAGUCACUGGGAUUACAGGUGCCCACCACCAUACCAGGCUAAUUUUUGUAUUUUUAGUGGAGAUGCGGUUUCACCAUGUUGGCCGGGCCAGUCUCAAACUCCUGACGUCAAGUGAUCUUCCCGCCUCGACUCCUGAUAUCAAGUGAUCUUCCCGCCUCGGCCUCCCAGAGUGCUGAGAUUACAGACGUGAACCCAUGCCUGGCCAGGAAUUUUGUUUUUUAGGAAGGCUUUCUACUAAUGGAAUUCCUGGCCUUGAGAGGAUGUUACUUUAGAAGGAAAGGAUUUUUUUGUUAUUAAAAGAGCCACCUAAGCUGAAGAUUCCCUUGAGAACAAGUACUGUCCCUGGUUUCCCAGUGCUGGAAUAUAGAAAAUGGAUGGACAACUGGACCUACCAUGAAAGACUUCUGAAUCCAGGAAGAGAAACUGACUGGGCAACAUGUUAUUCAGGUACAAAAAGACUUGGACUGUAACUCAAA
rnacentral:lncRNA from 10 species